CUUUAAAGGAGUUGGUACCAUUCAGGAAGGGAAGGUCCUGAGCUCGUAGGUCAUGCAUAUAUAUGUGCGUAUACAUUAUUUAUACCCUCCACAUGACAGCUGCUGGCUGUAGCUACAGACUCUCUCCACUGAUGCCUCUCUCUGAGUCAUGGCUGCACAGAGCUCCUUGACAGACCUGGAGGAGACGUGGUAAAAUCCCAAACACGAGUAUUGCAUCAAAGGACCUGGGCCUGCUCUGAAACUGCUGCUGCGUCAGCUGCCCCAAGAUGCGGGAAGGAUAUGUGAGCAUCCUGAUGAAUGCAACAGCCACUUCUGACAGCAGGGUUGUUUUUAGUCCUCAGUUCUUUAAAGUGCCUGAUGAUUUCAUAGCCCCUGUUGAGCCUGACUUGGAGAAGCUGCUGGCCCACCCCCGCUGUGAUCUGGUGUCC